UGUUGUUGUGGUGUUGUCACAGUGUGGGGUUGGGUUGUGUUGUUGUCACCAUGUUGUGUUGUGUUGUUGUCACCAUGUUGUGUUGUUGUCACCAUGUUGUGUUGUGUUGUUGUCACCAUGUUGUGUUGUUGUCACCAUGUUGUGUUGUGUUGUUGUCACCAUGUUGUGUUGUUGUCACCAGGUUGUGUUGUGUUGUUGUCACCAUGUUGUGUUGUUGUCACCAUGUUGUGUUGUUGUCCCCAUGUUGUGUUGUUGUCACCAUGUUGUGUUGUUGUCACCACGUUGUGUUGUGUUGUUGUCACCAUGUUGUGUUGUGUUGUUGUCGCCAUGUUGUGUUGUGUUGUUGUCACCAUGUUGUGUUGUUGUCACCAUGUUGUGUUGUUGUCACCAUGUUGUGUUGUUGUCACCAUGUUGUGUUGUGUUGUUGUCACCAUGUUGUGUUGUGUUGUUGUCACCAUGUUGUGUUGUUGUCACCAUGUUGUGUUGUUGUCACCAUGUUGUGUUGUUGUCACCAUGUUGUGUUGUGUUGUUGUCACCAUGUUGUGUUGUGUUGUUGUCGCCAUGUUGUGUUGUGUUGUUGUCACCAUGUUGUGUUGUUGUCACCAUGUUGUGUUGUGUUGUUGUCACCAUGUUGUGUUGUUGUCGCCAUGUUGUGUUGUGUUGUUGUCACCAUGUUGUGUUGUGUUGUUGUCACCAUGUUGUGUUGUUGUCACCAUGUUGUGUUGUUGUCACCAUGUUGUGUUGUUGUCACCAUGUUGGGUUGUGUUGUUGUCACCAUGUUGUGUUGUUGUCACCAUGUUGUGUUGUUGUCACCAUGUUGUGUUGUGUUGUUGUCACCAUGUUGUGUUGUGUUGUUGUCACCAUGUUGUGUUGUUGUCACCAUGUUGUGUUGUGUUGUUGUCACCAUGUUGUGUUGUGUUGUUGUCACCUUGUUGUGUUGUGUUG